GUGGGGAAUAUUGGACAAUGGGCGCAAGCCUGAUCCAGCCAUGCCGCGUGAGUGAUGAAGGCCCUAGGGUUGUAAAGCUCUUUCAGUGGGGACGAUAAUGACGGUACCCACAGAAGAAGCCCCGGCUAACUUCGUGCCAGCAGCCGCGGUAAUACGAAGGGGGCUAGCGUUGUUCGGAUUUACUGGGCGUAAAGCUCACGUAGGCGGAUCGUUAAGUCGGGGGUGAAAUCCUGGAGCGCAACUCCAGAACUGCCUUCGAUACUGGCGAGCUUGAGUCCGGAAGAGGUGAGUGGAACUCCUAGUGUAGAGGUGGAAUUCGUAGAUAUUAGGAAGAACACCAGUGGCGAAGGCGGCUCACUGGUCCGGUACUGACGCUGAGGUGCGAAAGCGUGGGGAGCAAACAGGAUUAGAUACCCCAGUAGUCC
rnacentral:rRNA from 1 species